rnacentral:rRNA from 1 species
AGCGAACGCUGGCGGCAGGCCUAACACAUGCAAGUCGAACGAACUCUUCGGAGUUAGUGGCGGACGGGUGAGUAACACGUGGGAACGUGCCUUUAGGUUCGGAAUAACUCAGGGAAACUUGUGCUAAUACCGAAUGUGCCCUUCGGGGGAGAGAUUUAUCGCCUUUAGAGCGGCCCGCGUCUGAUUAGCUAGUUGGUGAGGUAAAGGCUCACCAAGGCGACGAUCAGUAGCUGGUCUGAGAGGACGACCAGCCACAUUGGGACUGAGACACGGCCCAAACUCCUACGGGAGGCAGCAGUGGGGAAUCUUGCGCAAUGGGCGAAAGCCUGACGCAGCCAUGCCGCGUGUAUGAUGAAGGUCUUAGGAUCGUAAAAUACUUUCACCGGUGAAGAUAAUGACUGUAGCCGGAGAAGAAGCCCCGGCUAACUUCGUGCCAGCCGCCGCGGUAAAAC